rnacentral:rRNA from 1 species
UUAGCAUGGAAUAAUGAAAUAGGACGUGUGGUUCUAUUUUGUUGGUUUCUAGGACCGCCGUAAUGAUUAAUAGGGAUAGUCGGGGGCAUCAGUAUUCAAUUGUCAGAGGUGAAAUUCUCGGAUUAAUUGAAGACUAACUACUGCGAAAGCAUUUGCCAAGGAUGUUUUCAUUAAUCAGUCGAACGAAAGUUAGGGGAUCGAAGACGAUCAGAUACCGUCGUAGUCUUAACCAUAAACUAUGCCGACUAGGGAUUGGGCGGUCUUCAUUUCGACCCGUUCAGCACCUUACGAGAAAUCAAAGUUUUUGGGUUCUGGGGGGAGUAUGGUCGCAAGGCUGAAACUUAAAGGAAUUGACGGAAGGGCACCACCAGGAGUGGAGCCUGCGGCUUAAUUUGACUCAACACGGGGAAACUCACCAGGUCCAGACACAUUAAGGAUUGACAGAUUGAGAGCUCUUUCUUGAUUAUGUGGGUGGUGGUGCAUGGCCGUUCUUAGUUGGUGGAGUGAUUUGUCUGCUUAAUUGCGAUAACGAACGAGACCUUAACCUGCUAAAUAGUCAGGCUAGCUUUUGCUGGUUGCAGGCUUCUUAGAGGGACUAAUGGCUUCAAGCCGUUGGAAGUUUGAGGCAAUAACAGGUCUGUUAUGCCCUUAGAUGUUCUGGGCCGCACGCGCGCUACACUGACAGAGCCAGCGGGUUUUUUCCUUAACCGAAAGGUUUGGGCAAACCUAGAAACUCUGUCGUGCUGGGGAUAGAGCAUUGCAAU